rnacentral:rRNA from 1 species
GACGAACGCUGGCGGCGUGCUUAACACAUGCAAGUCGAACGAUGAAGCGGGUGCUUGCACUCGUGGAUUAGUGGCGAACGGGCGAGUAACACGUGAGUAACCUGUCCUUUUCUUUGUGAUAACGGCUGGAAACGGCUGCUAAUACUGGAUAUUCAGGCUGCAUCGCAUGGUGUGGUUUGGAAAGGUUUUUUCUGGGAUUGGGUGGGCUCGCGGCCUAUCAGCUUGUUGGUGGGGUGAUGGCUUACCAAGGCUUUGACGGGUAGCCGGCCUGAGAGGGUGGUCGGUCGCACUGGGACUGAGAUACGGCCCAGACUCCUACGGGAGGCAGCAGUGGGGAAUAUUGCACAAUGGACGAAAGUUUGAUGCAGCGACGCCGCGUGGAGGGUGUAGGCCUUCGGGUUGUGAACUCCUUUUUCUCGCGAAAAAGGCACAGUUUUGGCUGUGUUGAUGGUAGUGGGGGAAGAAGCGCCGGCUAACUACGUG